UACGUAGGGUGCAAGCGUUAAUCGGAAUUACUGGGCGUAAAGCGUGCGCAGGCGGUUGUGCAAGACAGAUGUGAAAUCCCCGGGCUCAACCUGGGAAUUGCAUUUGUGACUGCACGGCUAGAGUGUGUCAGAGGGGGGUAGAAUUCCACGUGUAGCAGUGAAAUGCGUAGAGAUGUGGAGGAAUACCGAUGGCGAAGGCAGCCCCCUGGGAUAACACUGACGCUCAUGCACGAAAGCCGUGGGGAGCAAACAGG
rnacentral:rRNA from 1 species